UGCUCGGGUCCCCUUCCACACUGUGGAAGCUUUGUUCUUUUGCUCUUUGCAAUAAAUCUUGCUACUGCUCACUCUUUGAGUCCACGCUGCUUUUAUGAGCUGUAACACUCACCGUGGAUCUGCAGCUUCACUCCUGAGCCCAGCGAGACCAUGAGCCCACCGGGAGGAACGAACAACUCCAGAAACGCUGCCUUAAGAGCUGUAACACUCACCGCGAAGGUCUGGAGCUUCACUCCUGAGCCAGCGAGACCACGAACCCACCAGAAGGAAGAAACUCCGAACACAUCUGAACAUCAGAAGGGACAGACUCCAGACGCACCACCUUAAGAGCUGCAACACUCACCGCGAGGGUCCGCAGCUUCAUUCUUGAAGUCAGUGAGACCAAGAACCCACCAAUUCCGGACACAUUUUGGCGACCACGAAGGGACAGACUCCAGACGUGCCACCUUAAGAGCUGUAACACUCACUGCGAGGGUCCGCAGCUUCAUUCCUGAAGUCAGUGAGACCAAGAACCCACCAAUUCUGGUCACAUUUUGGCGACCACGAAGGGACUUUCACCUAUCGCCAAGCGGUGAGACAAUCGCCGAGCGGUGAGACCUUUGCCUAUCGCCAAGCACACCCAGAGAUCCUCUCUGCACCACACCACCUUGUCUGCUGGGAAGUGGGGGAGGAGUGGCCUCAGUGAUUCAAGACUCUCCUUUCUACCUCUUGAGAGUGUCUUUCAGCAAUACGAAGUUGAAACCAGAGACGGGGUCUCAUUGUGUUGCCAGGCUGCUCU
rnacentral:lncRNA from 10 species